ACACUGGCAGGAUGGCUGAGAAGGUGGGUGCAGACAUCACGGUUCUCAGAGAGAGGGAGGUGGAUUACGACUCGGACGAGCCUCACAGAAUAGCUGAGGUGCUCAUCAGGAAAGUGCCAGACGAUCAGCAGUUCUUGGACCUGCGGGUAGCAGUGCUGGGAAACGUGGACUCGGGAAGUCCACUCUGCUUGGUGUGCUUACACAAGGAGAGCUGGAC